rnacentral:misc_RNA from 1 species
UAGCUACCCCACAAAGCAUGUGAAAAAUUAUCUCCAAGAAAAGUUAGCAUCAAUUUGCUCAUUGCUUAAAGCAUCUUAAUAAUGAUGUAUUAACAAAGUCCACGAUGGUGGCUUUUGCUAAAAUGAAAGGAGGGUGGGUCGCUAACUAGCUAAUUGUGGAGGCUUGGAGCACAACCUGUCUCCCUCCCAUACACGACAAUGAGAUAUUGAAUUAUUUACAAUGUUAAUAAAGGAAAUUUUCUUUCUAAAUCACUAAACACACAA